CCUANGGGGGGCAGCAGUAAGGAAUAUUGGUCAAUGGGCGCAAGCCUGAACCAGCCAUGCCGCGUGAAGGAUGACGGCCCUAUGGGUUGUAAACUUCUUUUGUACGGGAAAAAACCACCGGUCGUGUAUCGGUGCUGAUGGUACCGUAAGAAUAAGCAUCGGCUAACUCCGUGCCAGCAGCCGCGGUAAUACGGAGGAUGCAAGCGUUAUCCGGAUUCAUUGGGUUUAAAGGGUGCGCAGGCGGAGUGAUAAGUCAGUGGUGAAAGCCUACAGCUUAACUGUAGAACUGCCAUUGAUACUGUCAUUCUUGAGUAUUGUUGAGGUAGGCGGAAUGUGUCAUGUAGCGGUGAAAUGCUUAGAUAUGACACAGAACACCGAUCGCGAAGGCAGCUUACCAAGCAAUAACUGACGCUCAUGCACGAAAGCGUGGGGAUCAAACAGGAUUAGAUACCCGANUANUC
rnacentral:rRNA from 1 species